rnacentral:rRNA from 1 species
GCCGGCAGCUAGCUCUCUGCAACUCUCAAAUGGUUGCUCACUGAAGCUAAGCAAGGGUGCGCCCGGUCAGUACCUGGAUGGGAGACCACAUGGGAAAGCUAGGUUGCUGCCGGAA